ACCUUUUGGGGAUGCAUUGUGUCAAUCGCAGUCCACUCUGCUGAGCAUCUUCUCCCAGGAGUACCAGAAACAAAUAAAAAGAACACAUGCCAAGCAUCAUACUGCAGAAGCAGUUGAAUCUUACUACCAAAGGUACCUGAAUGGGGUGAUGAAAAAUGCCACUGCCCCUGUUUUACUGGAGCUGGCCAAUGAGAUGGACUUUGCCCCAUCUCUCAUGGCUCGCAUUGUGUUGGAAAGAUUUCUACAAGAGCAGGAACAAGCCAUCCGUAAGUUUCUCUAGUAUUUUUCU